AGCGAGCGCUGGCGGCAGGCCUAACACAUGCAAGUCGAACGAAGUCUUCGGACUUAGUGGCGGACGGGUGAGUAACACGUGGGAACGUACCUUUUGGUUCGGAACAACUCAGGGAAACUUGAGCUAAUACCGGAUGAGCCCUUCGGGGGAAAGAUUUAUCGCCAUUAGAGCGGCCCGCGUUAGAUUAGCUAGUUGGUGAGGUAAAGGCUCACCAAGGCUACGAUCUAUAGCUGGUCUGAGAGGAUGAUCAGCCACACUGGGACUGAGACACGGCCCAGACUCCUACGGGAGGCAGCAGUGGGGAAUCUUGCGCAAUGGGCGAAAGCCUGACGCAGCCAUGCCGCGUGAAUGAUGAAGGUCUUAGGAUUGUAAAAUUCUUUUACCAGGGACGAUAAUGACGGUACCUGGAGAAAAAGCCCCGGCUAACUUCGUGCCAGCCGCCGCGGUAA
rnacentral:rRNA from 1 species